rnacentral:rRNA from 1 species
CGUGGGUAACCUAGCCCAACGAAGGAACUCGGGGAGUAAACAACCUGGAAACAGAUGCUAAUACCGGAUAACAACACUAGACGCAUGUCUAGAGUUUAAAAGAUGGUUCUGCUAUCACUCUUGGAUGGACCUGCGGUGCAUUAGCUAGUUGGUAAGGUAACGGCUUACCAAGGCAAUGAUGCAUAGCCGAGUUGAGAGACUGAUCGGCCACAUUGGGACUGAGACACGGCCCAAACUCCUACGGAAGGCAGCAG